rnacentral:lncRNA from 1 species
AGACGAUGGCACCCUGCGGGCUGAGGGGCAGCAAUAAACCAUGAUGGCAAUAGAGGAUCUGAGAUGAUGAGGACAGACACUUGAGCUGAGGAAGCAGUGCUAUCCACUGUGUUUCUCCUCUCAAGGAUGUAGGUAAUGUGGGAAGAUGGAGGGCUGACAGGAGAUGCUUGUAGGAGAUUCCCAGGGAGGUGUCCUAGAAACACUUUCAGCUACUUUCCCAAAGCUAAGUGUUUCCAAAGAUGCUUGAAACAGUUGUGUAGAGAACAGGAUGGACCAAACUGGGAGAUGACUGAGCACCGGAUGUCCCUUGUGAUUCUCAGAGUGCCAUGAAGUGAGCCCUCUGUGACAUCACAGGGUAAAUCCCUGCCUUAGUAACUGCAGAGUGCUUAGCCUGAGGAUAACUCAGAGUCCAGCAAGGAGGUCUGGGAUUCACACUGAGCACGUGUGUCUGCCUAGGCUUGGGCUGUUUUCUGGGAUGGACUACCUGAAAUUCAUCACGUCCACCUCCAUAUGUGUGAAAGUGCAUGAGGAGGACAUGGAAUUAUGCCACAUAUCUUGCUACAAAUAUGUAUAAACAGUUGCUAUCAAGGCUAAAAACAAAGAAGCUUUGGACAAAUUUGAACUCAAAAGAAUCCAGUACUUCAAACAUAAAAAGAAUCAUAUACCCUGAUAGUGAGGUUUUCUGGACCUAGAUAAGUAGGACUGAAAAGAAAGAGGCCUGGCCAAACAAACAGGAAAAAAAAAAGAGUGUGGGCAAUGGGAAAAUCUGACCUGGAAGGAAGUCAGGUCCAAACCAAAUAGAGAUAUGGGCCUAGGCCUAACCCUGCCCCAGAAGAGGGCCCAGGCCAAAAGCAAAAAAAGUGAUGUGGGCCUGGGCCUGUCCCUGAACCUUGAAGAGGCCUGGAACAAAAGCAAGAAGUGAUGUUGACCUGGGCAAAUCCCUGACCUUUGAAGAGACCUAGCAUAAAGAAAGAAGUAAUGUGGGCUGGGCCUAUACCUAACUUUGAGAGGCUCAGGCCAAAAGCAAGAAUUGAUGAGGGCCUGGGCUUAUCCCAGACAAUUGAAGAGGGCCGGGCUGAAAAACAAAAAAUAAUGUGGGCCUGGACCUAACCCUGACCCUUGAAGAGGCUGGGGCUAAAAGCAAAAUGUGAUGUGGGCCUGGGCCUAUCCCUGAAAUUUAAAGAGGCCUGGGCACAAUACAAGUUAUGAAGAGGGUCUGGGCCUAUGCCUGACCUUUGAAGAGGCCCAGACAAAAAGCAAAAAAAUGAGGGACUGAGCCAAAGGCAAGAAGUGAUGUGGGCCUGGGGCUAUCCCUGUAAUAUGCCUGACCCUAGAAGAGCCUUGGGACAAAUGGAAGAAGUGAUAUGGGUAUUGGCCUAUCCUCCCGAUCCAUGAAGAGGCCUAUCCCUGACAUAUGAAGAGGCCCGGGCCACAAGAGAGAAGUUAAAAGUGCCUGAUCCUAUCCCUGAAGUUUGAAGAGGCCCAGGCCUAAAGAAAAAAGUUUUAUGUUCCCGGGCCUAUCCCUGAACAUUAAAGAGGCCCAGGCCAAAGUAAAUAAAAGAUGAGGGCCUGGGCCUAACCCUGACCCUUGAAGAGGCCCAGGCCAAAAAGAAGAAGAGAUGUGGGCCUAGGCCUAUCCCUGACAUAUGAAGAGGCCCGGGCCACAAGAAAGAAGUUAAAGUGCCUGGUCCU